UUUGCGGCAGGCUUAACACAUGCAAGUCGAACGCUGUAGCAAUACAGAGUGGCAGACGGGUGAGUAACGCGUGGGAAUCUACCCAGUUCUACGGAACAACACAGGGAAACUUGUGCUAAUACCGUAUACGCCCUACGGGGGAAAGAUUUAUCGGAAUUGGAUGAGCCCGCGUAAGAUUAGCUAGUUGGUGGGGUAAUGGCCUACCAAGGCGACGAUCUUUAGCUGGUCUGAGAGGAUGAUCAGCCACACUGGGACUGAGACACGGCCCAGACUCCUACGGGAGGCAGCAGUGGGGAAUAUUGGACAAUGGGCGCAAGCCUGAUCCAGCCAUGCCGCGUGAGUGAUGAAGGCCUUAGGGUUGUAAAGCUCUUUCAGUAGGGAAGAUAAUGACGGUACCUACAGAAGAAGCCCCGGCUAACUUCGUGCCAGCAGCCCGCGGUAAUACGAAGGGGGCUAGCGCUGUUCGGAUUUACUGGGCGUAAAGCGCACGUAGGCGGAUCGGUAAGCU
rnacentral:rRNA from 1 species